rnacentral:rRNA from 1 species
AUUGAACGCUGGCGGCGUGCUUAACACAUGCAAGUCGAUCGGUAACGCGGGGGCAACCCUGGCGACGAGAGGCGGACGGGUGAGGAACGCUUGGGAAUCUGCCCUUCAGCGGGGGACAACACGGGGAAACUCGUGCUAAUACCGCAUACGCUCCACGGAGGAAAGCCGGGGACCGCAAGGCCUGGCACUGAAGGAUGAGCCCAAGUCGGAUUAGCUAGUUGGCGGGGUAACGGCCCACCAAGGCGACGAUCCGUAGCUGGUCUGAGAGGACGAUCAGCCACACUGGGACUGAGACACGGCCCAGACUCCUACGGGAGGCAGCAGUGGGGGAUAUUGGACAAUGGGGGAAACCCUGAUCCAGCGACGCCGCGUGGGUGAAGAAGGCCUGCGGGUUGUAAAGCCCUUUCGGUAGGGACGAAAGCUCUCGACCUAACACGUCGGGAGGUUGACUUAACCUACAAAAGAAGCACCGGCUAACUCUGUGCCAGCCGCCGCAGUAAUAC